GAGUUGAGUUUGAGUCUUCCCUUGUGUUGUUGUGUUGUGUUGUGUCUGUUCUGUUUGCAGGUUAGAAUUGGUUGGAGAGUACUCCUUUGUUUAUUAUCAAGAUAUUCGUUUAAAUAAAAUAUCCAAUCGAGUUUUACAUUCAUAUUAGAAUUAUAAAGUCCAACUUUACAAUGCAUAAUUAUUGUUUUUUUAGUAUCUUGAUGUUAAUUUUUGUAAAUGUUUCUUUAGCGGCUGUUACUCAUCUUCAGCCUGUAACAAUUGUUAUAUCUUUGGAUGGGUUUUAUUACAAGUAUCUAGAGAGAAAUAUGACACCUAAUAUUGUGAAGUUGAGAGAUGAAGGUGUAAGUGCGCCGUACAUGAUUAACAUUUUCCCAACCAAAACGUUUCCAAACCAUUUUUCCAUGGCAACCGGUCAGUAUGCAGAAGAUCAUAAUGUUCUUGACAAUCUUGUAUUUGAUCCAAUUUUAAAUAAGACGGUGGGCUAUUCUGAGGAACUCUUUACAAAGGGUAAUUCAACCGUGCCUUUUUGGAUAGUCAACGAAAAGUCUGGUAAGAACAAAUACAGUGGAGUGAUGAUGUGGCCAGGUGGUGAUUACAGGUACCAAGGACUUUUACCGACGCAUCAAAAAUCUUUUGAUUUGGCCUGUGAUUUCAAUAAGAGGAUAGAUAUAGUGAUAGAAUGGAUAACGAAUAGCUCGACACCAGCCAAUUUAGUUUUUCUGUACAUUGAAGAACCAGACUCAACCGGCCAUAAAUUUGGACCGGAUUCAGUUGAAGUUGAUAACUCGUUGCGGAGGGUUGAUGAAACAAUCGGAUACCUGGAGUCAAGUCUGAAAAACAAUAAAGUUAAUAACUACAAUUUGAUUAUUAUGAGUGAUCAUGGAAUGACUCCAAUAAGCUCAUCAAAACUGAUCGAUUUGACAAAAUUCUUGACAAACAAUACCUAUCAUUUUGACACUGUUUCGCCAAUUCUCGGAGUUACUGCUAACAAAGGAUUUGAGGAAGAAGUAGCAGAAAAACUGAAGAAGGCUGCAUCUGAAAAGGAUUCACAUUUCAAGUUUUACAAAAGAGAUGACAUCCCAGAUGAUUGGCGAUACAAGAACUCUUUUAGAGCGCCACCUUACAUUCUAAUCGCUGAUCAUGGCUAUGCAUUCAAUGAUGCCUACAAAAGUAUUGAAUGGUACGCAAAGAACGCCAACAGAACUCUAACACCGGACUCAAUAUUUGGCCUGCACGGAUAUGUGCCGGAAGACGACUGUAUGCAUCCGAUCUUCAUGGCAAAAGGUCCUUCGUUCAAGAGCAGACACGUGGUGAAGCCGUUCAAGAAUGUGGAUCUGUUUGCGCUGUUUGCCAACCUGGUGGAUGCCGACAUUAGCGCCUACAGACACAGUGGUGACUUCCGAAGGGUGGCAGACCUGCUUGCUGUUCAGCCUGACCAUAUCAUCAGUCCCGCCAACCGACCGCUCAUCGCACCAAUUGUAGCAGUAAUUUUCGGCGUCCUAAGUGUGUUGGUAAUAGCUUCGCUAUUCUUUGCGAUCCGCUAUUUUAAAUCGAAACCCACCGAAUCUAUAAAAUGGAUAACUCCUGGACCAAGAAGUCACAAUACGACGUACAAUGUUGAGUACACAGCUCUCGAAGACUGUCAUCUACUAGCGGUGGUAUCAGAAAGCGAUGAAGCCACGUAGCAAUGAAGUGUCUUCAGCUGAAUUUGACGAAUGAAUGCAUCCAGCUGCUUUCAGAAUGGAGCAAAUCUCUCCAAGAGAAUCUCCAACAAAUAAUUUUUCCAAUUUGGAAGACCGACCAAAUAUUCAUCCCAUUCGUCUCCAUCCUCUCGUGGGUAAUUUUCGUAAUAAUUACAGUAUUAUCAAGUACGUGAGUAUGAUUUCUUAAAAAAGUAUUAUUCAACUUCUACCAGGCUACGUCGAUCGAAAAAUAUUUUAAUUGUAAGUUAUCAUUGCUCCAAGGGUUGAGUACUUAGUCACGCAUAUCGAUGUAAUUUUAAAAUGUUUAUUGUUUCUAUAUUUUAAAUGUGAUAUACGUCACUUGGUUCAAUUCGAACUUUAUUCUGUGAUAUUAUUUAUUAUUGUGAUUGUUAUGAAGAUUGCAUUAGAAAAUUUGUAACUUAAUAAAAUCGUCAUGAUCUCUUAAUGAU